GAAGAAAAGUGCGAUCGCACCGUAUUGUUCAAGGUACUCCAAACUCGGCGGAAACAAACAGCACUGAACAACAGACUGCUAUUGGAUCUUCGAAUGUUCCGGUUACACCUGAGGAACCUAUAGAAGUUCAAAGUAAUUUAACAUUUAAUUUACAUGUAUGUUGACUUCUUGUUUGUUUUUUUUAAAUUUCGUAUAUUACAAUAC
rnacentral:lncRNA from 1 species